rnacentral:ncRNA from 1 species
AUUAAAGCUAUGAUAAGGAUGAGUAGAUAUGAUUUGAAUAUAUUAGAGAGGAAGUGGUUGGUGGAAACUUCUUAUUCUGCAUAUUGAAGCUACCUUGGAGCUUAUUUUACUUUAAGUGAUGCAUAAUUUUUAUGCAUAAUUAGGGUGGUACCGCGGAAAUAUAGUUUUCGUCCCUUGC